CCUUAGAGUUUGAUCCUGGCUCAGAACGAACGCUGGCGGCGUGCUUAACACAUGCAAGUCGAACGUGAUCCAGAGCUUGCUCUGGUGAAAGUGGCGCACGGGUGAGUAACGCGUGGAUAACCUGCCCUGGUAUCUGGGAUAACACUUCGAAAGGGGUGCUAAUACCGGAUAAGCCCACGGUCUCUUCGGAGAGCGCGGGAAAAGGGGGCCUCUGUAUAUGCUCCUGUCGCUAGAUGAGUCCGCGGCCCAUUAGCUAGUUGGUAGGGUAAUGGCCUACCAAGGCUACRAUGGUUAGCUGGUCUGAGAGGAUGAUCAGCCACACUGGAACUGAGACACGGUCCAGACUCCUACGGGAGGCAGCAGUGGGGAAUUUUGCGCAAUGGGGGAAACCCUGACGCAG
rnacentral:rRNA from 1 species